UAGCUAAUACCGCAUAAUGUCGCAAGACCAAAGUGGGGGACCUUCGGGCCUCAUGCCAUCAGAUGUGCCCAGAUGGGAUUAGCUAUAGGUGGGGUAACGCUCACCUAGGCGACGAUCCUAGCUGUUUUAGAGGAUGACCAGCCCUCACUUGGUACUAGAACCGGUUCAGAAUCCUUACCGGAGGCAGCAGUGGGGAUAUUUGCUCAAUGGGCGCAAGCCUGAUGCAGCCAUGCUCGGCGUGUUGUGAAGAAGACUUUCGAGUUGUAAGCACUUUCAGCGGGGAGGAAGGCGUGUAGGAUAAAUAACCUUGGCGAUUGACGUUACCCGCCAGAAGAAGCACCGGCUUAACUCCGUGCCCAGCAGGCCGCCGGUAAUACGGAGGGUGCAGGCGUAAUCGGAAUUACUGGGCGUUAAAGCGCACGCAGGCGGUCUGUCAAGUCGGAUGUGAAAUCCCCGGGCUCAACUGGGAACUGCAUUCGAAACUGGCAGGCUAGAGUCUUGUAGAGGGGGGUAGAAUUCCAGGUGUAGCGGUGAAAUGCGUAGAGAUCUGGAGGAAUACCGGUGGCGAAGGCGGCCCCCUGGACAAAGACUGACGCUCAGGUGCGAAAGCGUGGGGAGCAAACAGGAUUAGAUACCCUGGUAGUCCACGCCGUAAACGAUGUCGAUUUGGAGGUUGUGCCCUUGAGGCGUGGCUUCCGGAGCUAACGCGUUAAAUCGACCGCCUGGGGAGUACGGCCGCAAGGUUAAAACUCAAAUGAAUUGACGGGGGCCCGCACAAGCGGUGGAGCAUGUGGUUUAAUUCGAUGCAACGCGAAGAACCUUACCUGGUCUUGACAUCCACAGAACUUUCCAGAGAUGGAUUGGUGCCUUCGGGAACUGUGAGACAGGUGCUGCAUGGCUGUCGUCAGCUCGUGUUGUGAAAUGUUGGGUUAAGUCCCGCAACGAGCGCAACCCUUAUCCUUUGUUGCCAGCGGUUAGGCCGGGAACUCAAAGGAGACUGCCAGUGAUAAACUGGAGGAAGGUGGGGAUGACGUCAAGUCAUCAUGGCCCUUACGACCAGGGCUACACACGUGCUACAAUGGCAUAUACAAAGAGAAGCGACCUCGCGAGAGCAAGCGGACCUCAUAAAGUAUGUCGUAGUCCGGAUUGGAGUCUGCAACUCGACUCCAUGAAGUCGGAAUCGCUAGUAAUCGUAGAUCAGAAUGCUACGGUGAAUACGUUCCCUAGCGUUGGACCCAGGGUCAGUAAGUCGUAACAAGGUAGCCGUAGAGUUUGAUCCUGGCUCAGCAAGUCGUAACAAGGUAACCGUUAGGUUACG
rnacentral:rRNA from 1 species